AACUCUCAACCCCCUUUGUUUUGUAAUGAAACGAGUGUGGGCUUGGAUUGUGGCGGCUGCCGGCGUAAUUGUCGACUCUGCUGAAAUACACGAGCUACCCAUUUCUGAGAAAUAGACGGUUUGACUCGGCGUAAUAAUAUAUUUCGCUGAGGACGUCACAUUCUCUAACUAGUGGUGCUUCUAAUGCGACAUCGAAAUCUUUAAGA
rnacentral:misc_RNA from 1 species